rnacentral:rRNA from 1 species
GUUCGGAUUGCAGGCUGCAACCCGCCUGCAUGAAGUUGGAAUCGCUAGUAAUCGCGGAUCAGCAUGCCGCGGUGAAUACGUUCCCGGGCCUUGUACACACCGCCCGUCACACCAUGAGAGUCGGGAACACCCGAAGUCCGUAGCCUAACCGCGAAGGGGGGCGCGGCCGAAGGUGGGUUCGAUAAUUGGGGUGAAGUCGUAACAAGGUAAC